rnacentral:rRNA from 1 species
CCCGGCGACCGGCGCACGGGUGAGCAACACGUAUGCAACCUGGCCGCCACAGGGGGAUAACCCGCGGAAACGCGGCCUAAUACCCCGUGACGCCACCGGAGGGCAUCCUCCGGUGGCCAAAGGAGCGAUCCGGUGGCGGAUGGGCAUGCGGCGCAUUAGCUAGACGGCGGGGUGACGGCCCACCGUGGCGACGAUGCGUAGGGGUUCUGAGAGGAAGGCCCCCCCACACUGGGACUGAGACACGGCCCAGACUCCUACGGGAGGCAGCAG